rnacentral:rRNA from 1 species
CCUACGGGAGGCAGCAGUGGGGAAUAUUGCACAAUGGGGGAAACCCUGAUGCAGCGACGCCGCGUGAGUGAAGAAGUACUUCGUUAUGUAAAGCUCUAUCAGCAGGGGAGAAAAUGACGGUACCUGAGUAAGACGCCCCGGCUACCUACGUGCCAGCAGCCGCGGGAAUACGUAGGGGGCAAGCGUUAUCCGGAUUUACUGGGUGUAAAGGGGGCGUAGACGGCAGGGCAAGUAUGGAGUGAAAGGCGGGGGCUCAACCCCCGGCCUGCUCUGGAAACUGUACGGCUGGAGUGAAGGAGAGGUAAGUGGAAUGCCUAGUGUAGCGGUGAAAUGCGUAGAUAUUAGGAGGAACACCAGUGGCGAAGGCGGCUUACUGGACUGUAACUGACGUUGAGGCUCGAAAGCGUGGGGAGCAAACAGGAUUAGGUACCCCAGUAGUC